UACGAAGGGGGCUAGCGUUGUUCGGAAUCACUGGGCGUAAAGCGCACGUAGGCGGAUUUUUAAGUCAGGGGUGAAAUCCCGAGGCUCAACCUCGGAACUGCCUUUGAUACUGGGGAUCUCGAGUCCGGGAGAGGUGAGUGGAACUGCGAGUGUAGAGGUGAAAUUCGUAGAUAUUCGCAAGAACACCAGUGGCGAAGGCGGCUCACUGGCCCGGAACUGACGCUGAGGCACGAAAGCGUGGGGAGCAAACAGG
rnacentral:rRNA from 1 species